GACGAACGCUGGCGGCGUGCUUAACACAUGCAAGUCGAGCGGUAAGGCCCUUUUGGGGGUACACGAGCGGCGAACGGGUGAGUAACACGUGGGUGACCUGCCCUCAGCUCUGGGAUAAGCCUGGGAAACUGGGUCUAAUACUGGAUAUGACCUUUCCUCGCAUGGGGGUUGGGUGGAAAGUUUUUCGGCUGGGGAUGGGCCCGCGGCCUAUCAGCUUGUUGGUGGGGUGAUGGCCUACCAAGGCGACGACGGGUAGCCGGCCUGAGAGGGCGACCGGCCACACUGGGGACUGAGACACGGCCCAGACUCCUACGGGAGGCAGCAGUGGGGAAUAUUGCGCAAUGGGCGGAAGCCUGACGCAGCGACGCCGCGUGGGGAUGACGGCC
rnacentral:rRNA from 1 species